rnacentral:lncRNA from 1 species
GGAAUAUGUGAGAACGAGAAAUGAAAUUUCAAACUAUAAUAUUAUCUGCAAAUAAAUUACUUUUCAACCAAAUAAAUUAAUCAUAAAUUUUUUGCAAAUAACAGGUGUACAAUAGUGUCAAAAUUUGUUGAUAGCAUUAGAUCUAGAGCUGAGGAACAUCGGUGCUACAUCAUAUUUCCAGCUUCUGAAUCAAGUCAAUACACCCAGUUCCCAUCUUCACCGGCAAACCGAGACAAAUUCUAGAAGAAGGAGUCUCCAAGGUGUCUACCUGCCCAUGACGAGCCGCUUCAACAAUGAAGUUGGAUGCUGUCUCAUAAGAUAUUUUGACAAAAGGGGAUGUAGAAUCUGCUAUCCCCGAUCUGGUCAAAGGGCGAUAGGAACCAGAAUGUGUCAUAAAGUCAGCAAUAAGCAUCAAGUGUCUGAUGUUUACCGAUAUCCCAUAAGACUUGAAAACAUUUUGUACUUCCCGGAUGAUGACUUCUUUGGCUGCUUCCACCCCAUAGGCUUUUAGUAUAGCAUGCACGUCAUUUGAAUAAACAUACCUAACUUUCAGAUCAUCUUCCAUCUCCCAAAAUGUUUUGAAAUGUAUACCAGACGUUUGAAGUGCUGGUAUUUUUUCUUUAACUGAUGACGGAAUAUCAUCCCUUUUACUAUCAUCUUCACCAUAGUAGAUUACGCCACUUUCUUUACAUGUAAUAGCUUUACAUUGGCCAACCUUACCAAAGUUCUGGAUACAAACCUUCUCGGCUGUUCUCUGAGCAAUCUGCAUACAGAUAAUUAAAGAACCGUCAGUUUUAUAUGAUGAGCAAGGAGUAAAAUAGAAAAUUGACAGUAUUCGCUUCCUGGUUUUAUUUCACUACAUAAUUUCAUUAUAACCCAGUUGUUACUAUUUCUUGUCCACAUACCAAAGGACCAUGCAUAGCUAUCCUAUCAACAACUAAAUCCUCUGUCCACUAGGAGGAACCAGUUACAUGGAACACAAUGGUAAAAUGCAUUGUCAUUAAUCAAUCAUAAUGACAGAUCAUUUAAAUACAGAACGCCAAUUGAGGCUAGCUGUGAUUAGUAAAAACCAGGAGAGGAGGAAUUGGAUGUGUUGUUGAAGCAAGUACAACUCGAUAGGUAUCAUGGGGCAGUAGCUGAGUCUCAAAGGCCCUGGUCAAUGUGUGCUGUCUGUCUAGGGGAGCAUCAACUAUUAUUGGUACUGGAGCUACCAGUAAUUAGCUGUUACACAGGCUUGUUCAUGCUUUGGGUUUGAAGGUAAUGGUAAUUGAAGAUGCAAGAGCUCCUAUAGAGUUAAGGAUAGAUAGAGUCGUAGCAAAUAGAAAUCCACAGUCAAACAUAUUUUUGGAGUUGGGUUACUUAAAAAAGUUCACUAUUAAACAGAAAAUGUUUUGCAGUAGAAAGUACCUGAGCCAAUAAUAUGUGAGGUUCACCAAUAAAUUUAAAGUGGAUCUCGAAACGCAUUCCCCCGGCUUUCACAUAAACUCUCCGGUCAUAUUUUUUGCUCGCGGGUUCAAAUUUUCUCUUUUUAGAUUUUGAAGUUUCUUCAAGUGUCACAUUUUUAUCACUGUCAUUUACUUCAAUAUCACUGUCAUCUCCAUUUACUUCAACACCAUUGUCAUCUUCAUCAUCUUUACCAUCCUCAGAGACUUCAACGUCCUCUGACUUCUCACCAUCAUGUGUUUCCUCUUCAGGACCAUCAUCGUAAUCAACCUCAUCCGUAGCUCGUUGUUUACUCUUUUGAGCAUCAAAACCAUCUUCCUCAGCAUCCUCUGUAUCACCAACUUCGUCGUCAUCAUCAGUUUGACCAUUUUGGUUGGAUGCCGAUUCAUUGCUAUGAUCAUUAUCUAAACCAUUUGAAGAAUUUGAUUUGCCUUGAAAAUCUUUUAUGCCACUAAUUCUAGCCAGCAAUGAAAUGUGAUUUUCAAUCGCAUCCUCCAAUUCCCUCACAAAGCCAACUCUUAGAGUUUCCUCCCAGUCUUCAAGGGUAACAUCCGUGUAUUUGGGAUAGUGUUUAGGUUUAUGCAGCUUCAUUGUAAGCUUAUAUAUACUGCAAAUGCGGCCCUCUUUUACAGCUACUGGUACAACAGAAACUUUCAUACUCUCAAUUAUGUCAGCUACUGUAAUCUUUUUCAUUUUGUCUGCAAGACGAAUAGCAUCUUCC